rnacentral:rRNA from 1 species
AAAGCGUGCGCAGGCGGUUUUGUAAGUCUGUCGUGAAAUCCCCGGGCUCAACCUGGGAAUGGCGAUGGAGACUGCAAGGCUAGAGUUUGGCAGAGGGGGGUAGAAUUCCACGUGUAGCAGUGAAAUGCGUAGAUAUGUGGAGGAACACCGAUGGCGAAGGCAGCCCCCUGGGUCAAAACUGACGCUCAUGCACGAAAGCGUGGGGAGCAAACAGGAUUAGAUACCCGAGU